rnacentral:rRNA from 1 species
GCUGGCGGCAGGCUUAACAAUGCAAGUCGAGCGGGCGUAGCAAUACGUCAGCGGCAGACGGGUGAGUAACGCGUGGGAACAUACCUUUUGGUUCGGAACAACCCAGGGAAACUUGGGCUAAUACCGGAUAAGCCCUUACGGGGAAAGAUUUAUCGCCGAAAGAUUGGCCCGCGUCUGAUUAGCUAGUUGGUGAGGUAACGGCUCACCAAGGCGACGAUCAGUAGCUGGUCUGAGAGGAUGAUCAGCCACAUUGGGACUGAGACACGGCCCAAACUCCUACGGGAGGCAGCAGUGGGGAAUAUUGGACAAUGGGCGCAAGCCUGAUCCAGCCAUGCCGCGUGAGUGAUGAAGGCCCUAGGGUUGUAAAGCUCUUUUGUGCGGGAAGAUAAUGACGGUACCGCAAGAAUAAGCCCCGGCUAACUUCGUGCCAGCAGCCGCGGUAAUACGAAGGGGGCUAGCGUUGCUCGGAAUCACUGGGCGUAAAGGGUGCGUAGGCGGGUCUUUAAGUCAGGGGUGAAAUCCUGGAGCUCAACUCCAGAACUGCCUUUGAUACUG